rnacentral:tRNA from 1 species
GGCAUGUUGCCAGAGUGGUUAAUGGGUGAGACUUGAAUUCAAAACAUAUUAGUUUAAGCCAUCUCAUGACUUCGGUCGCGUAGGUUCAAAUCCUGCACAUGUCG